GACGUAGGGCGCGAGCGUUGUCCGGAUUUAUUGGGCGUAAAGAGCUCGUAGGCGGCUUGUCGCGUCGACUGUGAAAACCCGUGGCUCAACCAUGUGGUCUGCAGUCGAUACGGGCAGGCUAGAAUUCGGUAGGGGAGACUGGAAUUCCUGGUGUAGCGGUGAAAUGCGCAGAUAUCAGGAGGAACACCGGUGGCGAAGGCGGGUCUCUGGGCAGUAACUGACGCUGAGGAGCGAAAGCGUGGGGAGCGAACAGG
rnacentral:rRNA from 1 species